rnacentral:rRNA from 1 species
CAGCAGCCGCGGUAAUACGAAGGGUGCAAGCGUUACUCGGAAUUACUGGGCGUAAAGCGUGCGUAGGUGGUGGUUUAAGUCCGUUGUGAAAGCCCUGGGCUCAACCUGGGAAUUGCAGUGGAUACUGGGUCACUAGAGUGUGGUAGAGGAUAGUGGAAUUUCCGGUGUAGCAGUGAAAUGCGUAGAGAUCGGAAGGAACAUCUGUGGCGAAGGCGACUAUCUGGGCCAACACUGACACUGAGGCACAAAAGCGUGGGGAGCAAACAGGAUUAGAUACCCGGGUAGUCCCUGUCUCUUAUAC